rnacentral:rRNA from 1 species
CUCCCGGUUGAUCCUGCCGGACCCGACUGCUAUCAGAGUGGGACUAAGCCAUGCGAGUCAACAUAGCAAUAUGUGGCAUACGGCUCAGUAACACGUAGUCAACAUGCCCAGGGGACGUGGAUAACCUCGGGAAACUGAGGAUAAACCGCGAUAAGUCACUACUUCUGGAAUGGGUAAUGACUCAAAUCUACAUGGCCCCUGGAUUGGACUGCGGCCGAUCAGGCUGUUGGUGAGGUAAUGGCCCACCAAACCUGUAACCGGUACGGGCUCUGAGAGGAGGAGCCCGGAGAUGGGCACUGAGACAAGGGCCCAGGCCCUAUGGGGCGCAGCAGGCGCGAAACCUCUGCAAUAGGCGAAAGCCUGACAGGGUUACUCUGAGUGAUUUCCGUUAAGGAGAUCUUUUGGCACCUCUAAAAAUGGUGCAGAAUAAGGGGUGGGCAAGUCUGGUGUCAGCCGCCGCGGUAAUACCAGCACCCCGAGUGGUCGGGACGUUUAUUGGGCCUAAAGCAUCCGUAGCCGGUUCUACAAGUCUUCCGUUAAAUCCACCUGCUUAACAGAUGGGCUGCGGAAGAUACUAUAGAGCUAGGAGGCGGGAGAGGCAAGCGGUACUCGAUGGGUAGGGGUAAAAUCCGUUGAUCCAUUGAAGACCACCAGUGGCGAAGGCGGCUUGCCAGAACGCGCUCGACGGUGAGGGAUGAAAGCUGGGGGAGCAAACCGGAUUAGAUACCCGGGUAGUCCCAGCUGUAAACGAUGCAGACUCGGUGAUGAGUUGGCUUCUUGCCAACUCAGUGCCGCAGGGAAGCCGUUAAGUUUGCCGCCUGGGGAGUACGGUCGCAAGACUGAAACUUAAAGGAAUUGGCGGGGGAGCA